UUCAGUGCUAUUGACCUAUCCCGUCGGUACAGGCUGGAGUAUGACCAGCAGCCGGAGUAUGACCGGUUCGACCGAUCAGGAGGAUACUUGUCAAUAGUACCGUCCCCUGAACGUUCAAAACUCAGUACCAUGUUGGACAUGGCAGUAGUGCUCAGUACCAUGUUGGACAUGGCAGUAGCGGGACUCAGUAUCGUGUUGGACACGGCAGUCAGUUUUAUGUAUGAUAUUAGUAUGCUUUUCUUACUGAGUCUGUCGACUCACAGUUUACGUUCAUGUGUAGGUAAAGGCAAGGCAGUUGCUGAUGGACCGUGAGCGAGCUUAUGGGGUUGUACAUGUCGGGGCGGUUAGGCCUGGAGCGUACGAUCCUCGGGACAGCAGGGCUGAGAUUUUUGUAACGGUCGUUAGAUGACCUUAUUUUGAUGUAAAAGUUGAAUAGUAAAAACGUUUGUAAAUAUUUUUAUAAAUCGGGAUCCCGAGACUUUUUGGUAAAAUGGUUUAUAAGUUUAAUGAAAAAGCAAAAUUUUAAUUAAUCACGUUUUUCCAUAAACCUCGUUGGUUAGCAACGAGCUGCACAGUACGUUUAAAAAUCACGUAAUACGCCUAAAUUAGUUAGGGUGUUACAGUGAAUUAGGUGUAAUUCCUCUCUAAUUACUUGGUUUAUGUUAGGUGAAAGUUUGGUAUGAUUGUGGGUUGAUAUAGCAUGAAAAUUGGUGUUUUUGGAUGCAUUUUCGUGGCUGGAAACUGGGUUUCCUGGGUUUUUAAACCCAGUAGCCGCGGCCAUUUUUGGCAGCUUAUUGUAUUUUUUUCGGGUUUUUGUUUUGGUCAUAACUUUUGACUCGGGACUCCGUUUGGGACGUUCUUUAUAUCGUUGGAAAGCUCGUUCCGAGCUCUAUCUGAAUAUCUGGAAUUUAAAUGCCCAGUUUUUAAUUUGUGGAAAUGGAUUUUGGGAUUAACCCUAUACUUGUGUAUCCCGGAAUUGUGACUAGGAUUACCGGCACUUGGUCAGGAGCACCCGGGGAUUUGGAAUCUCCAUAUUUGUGGGACAUCAGGAAAGGGUAAAUCUAUCUCUGAUCAGCCAUGAGUAUGGGAGUUGGGCGAUGUAUGUACAUGUUCGGGCCACACUAGACCAAGCGGGUUGGGGUCUACCUGCGUUGAAACUUUUGUAACUCUAUUUUUGCCGCUUAGGUCGGCUAAGGAGAAAAGACUUGUAAUAUUUUGUAAAAUGAUUUUUUUUUGGGAUCCCGAAACAUGUAACUUUUGUUUGUAAGGUUAAAAUUAUUACAAGUUUAUUUUCAUUC